UAGGGAAUCUUCGGCAAUGGACGAAAGUCUGACCGAGCAACGCCGCGUGAGUGAAGAAGGUUUUCGGAUCGUAAAACUCUGUUGGUAGAGAAGAACGUUGGUGAGAGUGGAAAGCUCAUCAAGUGACGGUAACUACCCAGAAAGGGACGGCUAACUACGUGCCAGCAGCCGCGGUAAUACGUAGGUCCCGAGCGUUGUCCGGAUUUAUUGGGCGUAAAGCGAGCGCAGGUGGUUUAUUAAGUCUGGUGUAAAAGGCAGUGGCUCAACCAUUGUAUGCAUUGGAAACUGGUAGACUUGAGUGCAGGAGAGGAGAGUGGAAUUCCAUGUGUAGCGGUGAAAUGCGUAGAUAU
rnacentral:rRNA from 1 species